CCCUGCGGCGGGAGUGGGGGCGUCGGCCGGAGCUUGGGGAUCGCCCGCUCCCUUUGCGAGUUACGGCGCGGAGCGAAAGACUGAGCCUGCACUUUACCCCUCAAAACAGUACCGCAUAGAGAGGAAGACAAAGGCCCAGGGAUUAAGUAACCUGCCCAAGGUCGCACCGUAAUGCACUGGUGCAGUCUGCCUUCAAACCCAAGCCAUCUGUCUUCUGGGCCUCCCUCAAAAUCUUGGGGGAAAAAUUGAGACCAGAUCGCACGGCCUUGGGGUAGCAAAUUUUGGAAUGCAGCGGCCCGACUGGAACUCGAUUCCCUGAUAGAACCCUCUGCCCUCCCUUGGCAACUUCCCUGAUUCUGCUCUUCUGGCGUCUUGCACACGCUGAUGAAGCAGAGGUCAGAGUGUUUAGAACUGACCAUCUUGUAUGGUGUCACCCUUAGUGACACCAAGUGUAGUAGCACCAGGAGGAGCAGGCCCAACAACCUGAGUCGUGUCCCAGGUCCAGGACUCACUAGAAGUCCACAAGUGGCGCCCAAACAGGGACCUGAAGGGGACCUCCCACUAAAAGUGACAAGAUGACAAUGGCGGAGGGUGGAAGUUUACAAAAGGUGGGUGGUCCCCAGGAAAAAGGGAGGUUCCAGGUUCCCUGCCCCACCCAGGGGAGGGUAUUGCUGAUCAGGGAAGAGAAGAGGCUGGAGAGGAGACUGAGAAAGGAAGAACAGCAAGGAGACCUGGAGGAAGGAAGGAGAACAGCAAGGAGACCUGGAGGAGUCACAUGGAACAGAGAUACAUGUGAAAAAACUGCACUUGCUUCUUGGUCCUGGACUGGUUGAAAGAGAUGUGGUCAAAACUACAAAGAGAUACCAUCUCGCAGCUCAGUGCAGUGCGUUGCCAUGCCGAGGAUGGAGGAGUGAAGUGGCAUGGAGGGAGAGUGGCAGAGUGGCAGAGUGCGACGGAGUGCAGCGACAAACAGCGGAGAGCGUGAAGACACCAACAUGGCUGUUAGAACCGGUAACGAACCUACCCAGUAUGGGUUGGUUGCACGACAUUUGGCAUAGACAGCAGGACGGUUCAAAGCAGGACAGCUGGCGCAGACGGGUAUGGAACCCUUUGAAACCUGGGGAGGGAUUGCCGGGUGGCCAGCCACUAGCAGAUGGUACUCAGUGGCCAGCCUCCUCUCCCAGUGGGCACUUCCCCAGGAAUGACCAGAGGUAGAUGGAUCCCCGGUGCAGUUGGAACAGGCCCUGUACGGAAAUAGAAGAGCCCCUGUACGGAAACAGAAGAGCCCCUGCCAUGAGGCGGCAGGGGCUGCGGGUGUUUCUCACAACUCCGCAAGAGUCUAGGCAGAAAGAGCGCUCCAGAAUCCAAUAAGUACAGUAUGAGAUGCAGAAACUACAACAAUGUUUGAGGAUUCUGGAGGAAGAAGUUCGGAGAAACCAACCCACCAGUCCAAAGACACCAGACUCCUUCUCAAGAGAGGAGAGGGAGGCUGGUCCUUUGCCCGAGUCUUAGCCAGUAGUGGCAAACCAACCUGAGACUGCAGAGAUGCCAGGCUUCUCUGGAGAGGAGGAGGAGGCUCGUCCCAUGUUCCGGGCCCAGCCGGUGGUGACUCAGAAAAUGAAACUAAGGCAGCCCAUGGCCCCAGGGGGUGAGGCUGCUGGACCACCACAAAUGACAGAAUUUACUACGUACCGACCAUACACCCAAGUGUUGGAACCGGUGGACAUACACCCAAGCAUUGGAACUGGUGGACUUGGGCAAACAGUUCUGCCAGAAACCAGAGGAAUCCUAGGCAGACUGGCUACUAGUUUGUAGGGUGGAUGGGAUUAUUUGUAUGGCAGAAGAGAUGGAGAGACUGGCCUCAGUGAUUUUAUACCCAUCCUUGAGACAGAGGCUGCAGAAUAGCCAGCGGUAUGGCCAGGGGGAUCAUACCCUGCUGGAAUGGAUAAUGGUUGCCACACAAACAGUAUGGGCUGAUGCAGGAGACAUGUCGGAGACAGUGAGCAGAUGGCAGACGUACACCGAGCUGGUACAGGUACUUCGGGAAUUGGGUAUGCGGCAGGCCAUGUUCAAUGUGAACACUUGUGGUCCUGACGAUGAGUGUUUCACAGCAGGGAUGAGAGACUUGGUAUUAAAGAGUGCCCCCUCAUCCUCAUUUGGAUCCCUCACGGCAGUUCCAGCACCCUAUGUGGGACAUCAAAUAAACGAUGUCACAAUGAUAGCUAGCUGGGGUGAAGUCGAGAGCCGGCGCUCUCAAACUCAGAAAGGAAUACAGGUAAUUGUUGAACAAUCAAAAGGAAUGCCAAGGAGGGCAAAGAAGCCUCUUGGCAUGACAGAACCUGUUAAAGUUACCCAUAACCAAAUGUGGACAGAUAUAGCGAGAGCAGGUGUAGAUCACACUAAAAUAAAUGCGAAGCCCAAUGCAUAUUUGUUAGAAUUACGGAAGCAGCUGCAAGAAGCCCAGAGGUUCAUGUCCGUGAGAAGGGCUGCUGCUAAGGGGAAGCCUGGAAGCUUCAGGCCUCAGGCACAUGCCCUGCGCCUGGAAGACUACUUGCUGCUGACCCCAUCCUUGGGCGAUGGCCUGAUCACUUUCAAGUAGGGUGAGGGCCAAGGAACCUGUCCACAGAGGCAGGGCAGGGACUGGAGGCCACAUUUGGAGCUUGCCAUCCACUGGUCCCCAACUAACGUGCAAAGAGUUUUGGCUUUGGUAGACACAGGAGCAGAAUGUACUCUGCUCUAUGGAAAUCCAGAAAAAUUUCAAGGGUCUGCUUGUUACGUUGAUGGCUGUGGAGGCCAGAGUGUCAAGGUGACAGCAGUGAGACUGUCCCUGGGGAUUGGGUGUUUACCCCCAAAAGAGUAUAAAGUAUAUGUAUCGCCCAUCCCGGAGUACAUCCUGGGGGUGGAUGUACUAUGUGGCUUAUGGCUAGAGACCACAGCCGGAGAGUUUCACCUUAGAGUGCGUGUGGUAAAGGCAGUGGUGAGAGGACAUGCUAAGCAUCCUCCCAUACAACUGUCAGUCCCUAGGUUAAUGACUGAUACCAAGCAAUAUCAAUUGCCUGGAGGCCACAAGGAAAUUACGGGCACAAUAUCAGAAUUGGAGAAAGUGGGCAUUGUUCAUUCGGCCCACAGCCCCUACAAUUUGCUCGUGUGGCUGCUGAGGAAGCCCGAUGGCUCUUGGUGCAUGAUAGUAGAUUAUCGUGAAUUAAAUAAGGUAGUUCCCCCCUUGCAUGCUGCAGUGCCUUCAGUGGUAGACUUGAUGGAUCUUCUCAGCCAUGAGCUAGGCAUGUAUCAUUUUGUGGCCCAUCUGGCAAAUGCUUUUUUUCCCUAUAGAUAUAGCUCCAGAGAGUCAAGACCAGUUUGCCUUCACGUGGGAAGGCUGGCAAUGGACAUUUACUGUGCUUCCAUAGGGAUACCAGCACAGCCCUACCCUGUGCCAUGGGCUGGUGGCAGCAGAUCUGGCUCAAUGGGAGAGGCCAUCUUUAGUGCAUUUGUAUCAUUACAUUGAUGAUGUUUUAUUGACUACUGACUCUCUUGCAGAUUUGGAAAAGGCAGUACCUCUUCUAUUGACACACCUGAAACAUGUGGCUGGGCAAUCAACAAAAGCAAACUGCAGGGCCCUGGACUGUCAGUUAAGUUCUUGGGAGUUGUUUGGUGCGGUAAGACAAAAGUUAUCCCUGAUGCUGUAAUAGAUAAAGUGCAAGCUUAUCCCACUCCAACCACAGUGAAGCAGCUGCAAGCCUUUCUGGGCCUGCUGGGUUACUGGAGGGCAUUGAUACCUCACAUGGCCCAGCUCCUACGACCCUUGUAUAUGUUAAUACGUAAGGGGUCCAGGUGGGAUUGGUCAGCUGAGGCAGACGCAUCAUUUGCCAUGGCCAAACAAACUAUAAAGACUGCUCAGGCUUUGCAGGUUUUUGACCCAGCCUGACCCCGUGAGCUCGAUGUGCAUGUUACUCAGGAAGGGUUCAGGUGGGGACUCUGGCAGAAAUCAGAGAGGCUAUGAUAGCCUAUUGGGUUCUGUUCCCAACUCUGGAAGGGGGCUGAGGUUAGGUAUUCCUUAACUGAGAAACAGUUAGCUGCGGUAUAUGCAGCCUUACUAGCCACAGAAAGUAUAACUGCCACAGCCCCUGCCUCAGUGAGAACCACCUACCCAAUAGCUGGAUGGGUACGGGACUGGACAACAAAGCCCCAUAGUGGUACUGCUCAAACACUCACCUUGGUGAAGUGGGGGGGGGGGCAUACCUAGAACAGCACUGCACUGUGUCAACUAGCCCCUUAAGGGCGUAGUUGCAGGAGGUUCUUGGUCCGGGGAUGUAUGUCACUAUGGAACCCACUUCAGAAGCCUGUGUUGAAGCUGAACCUGGAACUAGUCCCUACAAAGAGGGAUGGGCACUGUUCCAGCAGAGGCCUGUUAUACAGAAGGCUCCAGCUGGGGCCAGCCAGCAUCUUGGACAACUGUGGCUGUACACCCAGAAACGGAUACUAUUGGCUUAAAACUGGGAUAGGACAGAGCAGCCAAUGGGCUGAACUGCGAGCAGUAUGGAUGGUGGUGGCCCAUGAGCCCUCCCUGGUAGUAAUUUGUAUUGACAGUUGGGCUGUGUACAGGGGCCUGACACUGUGGAUUUCCACUUGGAAUCUAAAUGAAUGGACAGUCAUGCAUUGGCCAUUUUGGGGCCAGGCCCUAUGGAAGGAUAUAUAGGAUCUAGGGCAUCAGAAGCAGGUGACUGUUUAUCAUGUCACAGGACAUGCCCCAUUGGCCUCACCAGGCAACAAUGAGGCAGAUACCCUAGCCCAGGUUUGAUGGCUUGAAACUGCUCUGGGGUGGGAUGUUGUGCAGUGGCUGCACAGACACUUGCUCCAUGCAGGGCAGAAGACAAUGUGGGCCACUGUGCAUGCCUGGGGUCUACUUGUCGCUUUAGAGGAAGGUCAAACUAUUUGUGAACAAUGUGUAGUGUGUUCCAGGACUUACCCCUGGAGACCUUUUACAUCCACAGUCCAGGUAUUGCAGGGGCAGGUACCCCUGACAUGCUGGCAGAUUGACAUUGGACCACUAGCUCACUUCAAUGGACAACAGUAUGCGGUCACCUGUGUGGACACUGCUACCGGGUUAUUGACAACCUAUCCUGCUCCACAUGUGGACCAAAAGGCAGUUUUGACAGCACUGGCACACCUAUGUGCUGCAUAUGGAUGUCUGCUGGUAGUGGAGAGCGACCAAGGGACUCAUUUUACAGGAGCCCGGGUGCAGCAGUGGGCCAAGGACAUGGUGUUGAAUGGAAGUUUCACAUUCCCUAUAAUCCCAAAACUGCAGGGACCACUGAACCUUAUAACAGACUGCUAAAGCAAGGGCUGAAAGCUACUGCCCCCACUCUGACGCUGGCUGGUUGGAGCCCACAUCUGUGGGACGUGCUACAAGCACUAAAGAGAGGAGCAGGAAAGGAGGCCUGGAUCCAGUGGAGGCGUUGCUGCAUUGUGCCGCUGCUCCCAUCCAAUUGCAGAUACAAACUUCGGAUAUUUUGUUAAAGCCUGGAUUUGGACAGCAGGGCAACAUUUUAUUACCAGCCCCGACUGGAGUGGACCCAGGGCAGACUGUGGACUGGAAAUGGCCCUGGACUGUGAAUGCUCCCCACAUGCACUGGGUGGCUCUGAUAGCCCCUUGGGGUUGUGGCCUGGAGGCCAAUUUACAAAUAACACCAUGGGUGACUGUACAGUGGCUGCCCCAGGUGCGUGUUACCCACCCUGGGGUGGCAGAUCAGAAGGCAAUCCUAAAAGGGACAUUUGUGAUGACUCUGUGGCCUAUUAUGAGCUUUCCACUCUUGCUACAUAUAGAGCCCUCUGAUGUCUCUUCGCUGGCAAAGUGAGUGUGGUACUCACAACCUAGAAGGCCACUGAUGCCCACUACAAUAUUGGCAUGUAUAUUGCCAGAUGGGAGGUGUCUCCCAUUGCUGGUACCAAAAACUUCUUUAUCUUUCUACCCCUAGGAGAAUUGAACUUAGUUAUAUUGUGAUGUAUACUGUUUGUUUUGUGAGCCAUGGCUGCAGUGUUUAUGUUUGUUAAAGGAAACUUGUUUAUACUUGUAUAUAGACUGUAUGGUGGAAAACCCUGAGUGGGUGGAUUGUGGGGUAAGUAGGGGGAAAAGCUUCAGGCUUUCCCACCCUCCCACCGCACAUGUGCACUUGGCCAAAUGGCGUGGCGUGGUGUGGUGUGGCGUGGUGCGGUGUGGCACAGUGCGGUGCAGUGCCGAGGAUGGAGGAGUGCAGUGGAGUGGACGGAGGUGUGCGGCAGAGAGUGGCAGAGAGCAACGGAGUGCGGCGAUGAACGGCGGAGAGCAUGAAGACACCAACAUGGCUGCUAGAACCAGUAAUGAACCUACCCAGUAUGGGUUGGUUGUGCUACAGAGGGCCUCCCUGGUGGCGCAAGGGGUUUAGAUGCAACCCACAAAGCUAUCUGCAGCCACUGCAGCAGACCUCUCCUGACUGGCCCACUGCUCGCCUCAGCCGUGUAUUUCUGUCAGUCUGCCUGUUUUGUUCCCCGCUUUGGCUCUGGUGAAUCCUCUCACUCCUCCCCCUCCCCCACACCUCUGGCCUGUACCCCAGUUCUUGUAUAUAUAAAUAAAUCUUAAAGUCAAAACAGGGGCCUCCCUGGUGGUGCAAGGGGUUAAGAUGCAACCUAUGAAGCUAUCCUCACCCACCACAGCAUGAG